rnacentral:lncRNA from 1 species
GUUCACUUCAAGAUCACGAGUGUUAACCUGGACUUAGUCCGUCAUGUUAUCUCUGUUGAUUCUUCUUCUUCUUCUUCCUGUCUUCAUCACUCCAGGAGCCUCUCUGAAGUGUGAGAUUUGUGAAGGCAUCGGUCAUAACUGUGCUGGAGUGAUGCGCGAAUGCCCAUCUACUUCUGACAGCUGUGCCAUUGUUCUGACUGAGACCACAGUGGGAAUAAAGAUGAACGCCAUUGUGAAAACCUGCUUACCAUCCAGCAUGUGCAAUAAGGGUCCUAUCAGUAUUAAUAUGGGAGAGGUGGGAACAAUGUUAAACCAGGCUUUAUGCUGUACAGGGGACACGUGCAAGAAGAUCACU